CUGCUCAGGAUGAACGCUGGCGGCGUGCCUAAUACAUGCAAGUCGAGCGAAUGGAUUAAGAGCUUGCUCUUAUGAAGUUAGCGGCGGACGGGUGAGUAACACGUGGGUAACCUGCCCAUAAGACUGGGAUAACUCCGGGAAACCGGGGCUAAUACCGGAUAACAUUUUGAACCGCAUGGUUCGAAAUUGAAAGGCGGCUUCGGCUGUCACUUAUGGAUGGACCCGCGUCGCAUUAGCUAGUUGGUGAGGUAACGGCUCACCAAGGCAACGAUGCGUAGCCGACCUGAGAGGGUGAUCGGCCACACUGGGACUGAGACACGGCCCAGACUUCUACGGGAGGCAGCAGUAGGGAAUCUUCCGCAAUGGACGAAAGUCUGACGGAGCAACGCCGCGUGAGUGAUGAAGGCUUUCGGGUCGUAAAACUCUGUUGUUAGGGAAGAACAAGUGCUAGUUGAAUAAGCUGGCACCUUGACGGUACCUAACCAGAAAGCCACGGCUAACUACGUGCCAGCAGCCGCGGUAAUACGUAGGUGGCAAGCGUUAUCCGGAAUUAUUGGGCGUAAAGCGCGCGCAGGUGGUUUCUUAAGUCUGAUGUGAAAGCCCACGGCUCAACCGUGGAGGGUCAUUGGAAACUGGGAGACUUGAGUGCAGAAGAGGAAAGUGGAAUUCCAUGUGUAGCGGUGAAAUGCGUAGAGAUAUGGAGGAACACCAGUGGCGAAGGCGACUUUCUGGUCUGUAACUGACACUGAGGCGCGAAAGCGUGGGGAGCAAACAGGAUUAGAUACCCUGGUAGUCCACGCCGUAAACGAUGAGUGCUAAGUGUUAGA
rnacentral:rRNA from 1 species